AUAGCUCCAUUAUACCAUAUAUUGCUGACGUAGAAUUAAUUUAUAAUAUUUUCAGCGACCAGUUAAUUUUCUUGGUGGUUAAAAACAAAGCCACCAACAUUACUCGUUAUCUUGACAAUCAUGACUAAGUUACCAAUGAUAUACUCAUAGAGGGUUCCAUAGAACCGCCAAGGUAUACAAACUUUUCCAUGUGCGUUGGCCUAACCAUAAGCAAAAUACUUCUCGGGAGUUCUAACCCAAACUGCCAAAGAAAAUUCCCAUAACUUUGCUAAUUAGAUGUGUUUAUCUCUAAUAUUCAGCUACAAUAUACACUACGCUGUCUUAUGCACGAUUCGAAGUUGUUUGCAGUUUGAACCAACAACGGCACAUUUUUGGGUUCAUGUCAUUUGAUACCCUCGACACCUAAGGAUAUGCCCGUUGGCUAAUAUCAAUAUGAUCAUCACCACCAAACCAAAGUCAAAAUCAAUAAUAUAUUGAGCUUUCCUUGUUCAAAGCAUUCUUGCAAGGUUGUUUCACUUCAAAAUGGUCAUUGGCUUAGUCUUGAGUAUGAUCCUGUGAGGGUGAGUUUUGCAUCUGUUCAUACAUUUUUAGAUUGGAUCUGGAUAGGGUGAGCUCUGCAUCUGUUUAUGCCUUUUACAUUGGUUAUGAAAGAGGAGAAAAAAAAUGAAUCAAUCAGCUCGAGGAGUGUUUUUUUCUUUCAA